rnacentral:rRNA from 1 species
UUGCCCCAGUAACGGCGAGUGAAGCGGCAACAGCUCAAAUUUGAAAUCUGGCCCCUAGGGUCCGAGUUGUAAUUUGUAGAGGAUGCUUUUGGUGAGGUGCCGCCCGAGUUCCCUGGAACGGGACGCCACAGAGGGUGAGAGCCCCGUCUGGCUGGCCACCGAGCCUCUGUAAAGCUCCUUCGACGAGUCGAGUAGUUUGGGAAUGCUGCUCAAAAUGGGAGGUAUAUGUCUUCUAAAGCUAAAUAUUGGCCAGAGACCGAUAGCGCACAAGUAGAGUGAUCGAAAGAUGAAAAGCACCUUGAAAAGAGGGUUAAAUAGUACGUGAAAUUGUUGAAAGGGAAGCGCUUGUGACCAGACUUGGGCGCGGCGGAUCAUCCGGGGUUCUCUCCGGUGCACUUCGCCGCGUCUAGGCCAGCAUCAGUUCGUCGCGGGGGAAAAAGGCUUCGGGAACGUGGCUCCUCCGGGAGUGUUAUAGCCCGUUGCAUAAUACCCUGCUUUGGACUGAGGACCGCGCAUCUGCAAGGAUGCUGGCGUAAUGGUCACCAGCGACCCGUCUUGAAACACGGACCAAGGAGUCGUCUUCGUAUGCGAGUGUUCGGGUGUCAAACCCCUACGCGUAAUGAAAGUGAACGCAGGUGAGAGCUUCGGCGCAUCAUCGACCGAUCCUGAUGUUCUCGGAUGGAUUUGAGUAAGAGCAUACGGGGCCGGACCCGAAAGAAGGUGAACUAUGCCUGUAUAGGGUGAAGCCAGAGGAAACUCUGGUGGA